CUGAUCUUCCUGAACUAGUGCAGGCAGGCAGUUAUUUGGUGGCUAGAGCAAGUACUGAAAGUCAGGUGACUCCUGACUCUGCAAAGGAACCUCUCUGGGGCCAUGAUGUCACCAUCAGUUUACUCCUCUGUAAAAGAGGGAUACUGCUACUUAUUUUUGUAACAAGCUUUUUGGGAUCCUCUGAAAGGUGACCUUUGAGAGAAAUGGAGGCCUGAGAUGAGUAAAGGGCCACUAUUGGUAUUAAAUUGGAGAAUAUACCAGUGCUACUACAUCCAACACUGCAAGUAAAGGAGGAGACAGAAAACGGAUUGACUGCAACAAAAAAGUCCCUGUUGAUCCUGCUCAGAAAAUUGCAAAGGAAUAAGGGCAAAGGGAGUAAGAAAAGACAUCCACCCAUCUGUACAUAGGUCCAUGGAAAUUGUGAGGUAUGUAGGCUGUGUCCCUGUGUCCCCACCCUGAGAAUGCAAACGCCUCUCCCCUGGAGAAGAAGACGGCUCCAACUCCAUGAAGCGAACUCCUGAGUUUUCAAAUGUGUCUCUCCCACACUCACCUUUGGUGCUUCCCACAGGAAGAGCCAUUAGUCCCUUUUAAAGCUGCAAUUGAAUAUGAAUGUUCCCUCAGAUUAUUUAAAAAACCAGAAUAUGUUACCUAAAGAGUCUCACUGCUCAAAUGUUAUCAGGUUGGAUGGAUUUAUAAAAUGAAGAUAGGAUAGUUAUAUGGGCAGAACUUAAAACUUUUUAAUAUACUGCCAAGCCCCUCCCUAGAAAGGCUCCCUCACUUUACAAGGUCUUUCUCAAAAUUUGACCCAAAAAUGUCUUACAUUUUAAAAAAAUAACAUUUUAAAAACCUGAAACGUAAGGCCUAAAACCCCAAGAUGUUUUGUAUUGAUACGUCAUUUGCCCCCAUUACCUACAACUGUUCUUAUUACUUGCAGUUAAUAGUCUAGUUGAGGGGAGA